AGGUUUUGUGUCUUUGCCGGAGGUGUCAAAAAGUCUCAAACUGAACACUUAGAAAGCUUUUCCAGCCGUUGAGUUGGAUGUCUUGGAGACAGGAACUGAAUUAGGUACUGCU
rnacentral:snoRNA from 1 species